rnacentral:lncRNA from 1 species
AGAAAUACUUUGUAGACAUUCAAUGAUUACUGAGAAAGUGGGUUUACUCGUGGGUGGGAAGGCAGGAGAGUUGCAUCGAUCUCCCUUUGUUUCAGGAGGACUAGGAGAAUUGCAAGCUGUCAGGCCAGACCUAGUUGUCUUCUAGUAAACAAGUUUAAGUCUAGCAACUUAGAAAAUGGCCUGUGAAGCUGGGACCUGUUGUACCAAGACUAAGAUUUGGGGUGAUUUCCCAGGUUCACUAUACCAAGCUCUCUCCCUCCAAAGUAGCAAAGCCUUCCUGUCCCGGCCAGCGCUUGCCGCACAUGGUUCUGGGCAGCUCUGGGUUGCGACCUCACCGAUCACGCACCCGCGCCCAGACCUACAGCCCUGCGCGCAGGACCAGGGCUUCUGGACCGAGGGCUCCUCGUGGGCCAAGCAGCCAGCUCUCGGCAUGACCAAGGGAAGCGCUCGCCUGGGCCAGCCUGGCUGAGGACAGCCUCAUCCUAUGCCUGUCCCUGGUCAGAGCCCUGCCUCAUCUGGGGUCACUUCUGGGCUGUCCUGUGGGGGAGGGGACCUCUGGAGCCUGACUGUUCAGAGGCAAUGGGAGAGGCUGGAGCUCGGAGAGGGCCACCCACGCCCUUCCAGGGACACCCCCUUGGGUCCUGGCCCCCACCUGGGUUUGCAGAACCCUCCAAGUCCCCAAACCCCACUCUGAUCGGCAGCUACCGCUGCCCCGCCACCCACCCGCGUCCGGCCUCCAGCCCCGUGUUCGAAGCCCUCUGGAUCCGGCUGCUGAGAGCGCCUGGGGUCCC